AUAUCAGUCAUGCAUAGCAUAUCAAUAAGCGGAGGAAAAGAAACUAACAAGGAUUCCCUUAGUAACGGCGAGUGAAGCGGGAAGAGCUCAAAUUUGAAAUCUUCAAGGUUUUACCUUGACGAAUUGUAGUUUAAAGAAGUGUUUUCUGUUGAAGUUUUGGUAAAAGUUCUUUGGAAUAGGACAUCAUAGAGGGUGAGAAUCCCGUAUUUGACCAUUACUUUCAGCUUUGUGAUACACUUUCAAAGAGUCGGAUUGUUUGGGAAUGCAGUCCAAAAUGGGUGGUAAAUUUCAUCUAAAGCUAAAUAUUGGCGAGAGACCGAUAGUGAACAAGUACCGUGAGGGAAAGAUGAAAAGAACUUUGAAAAGAGAGUUAAACAGUACGUGAAAUUGUCAAAAGGGAAGCGUUUGACACCAGUGUUGUUUUCUCGAAAAUCAAUUAAAAAGAGUUGGAUUUUGUGUUGUAUUGACUUUAUCAGCUUUCUUCACUCUUUUCCAGCUUUUUUUAAUGCACUUUUCGUUUAACAAGUCAACAUCAGUUUCUUUUGUUGUAAAAAGGUCAUUGGAAGGUGGCUUUCUCUUCGGAGAAAGUGUUUAUAGCCUUUGACUCAUGCAAUCGGAGAGACUGAGGUCUGCAGCGUAGAUCCUUCGGGGUUAGAUACAUUUGUGCUAAGUUAUAGCUUUUCAUAGACAACUUGUUGACUAUGUUUAGUCUUGUAGCUUACUCGCUUAUGCUAUUUUACCUACGCUUAGGAUGUUGAACUCUAUCACACACA
rnacentral:rRNA from 1 species